rnacentral:rRNA from 1 species
UGGGGAAUAUUGCACAAUGGGCGCAAGCCUGAUGCAGCCAUGCCGCGUGUGUGAAGAAGGCCUUCGGGUUGUAAAGCACUUUCAGCGAGGAGGAAGGUGGUGAGCUUAAUACGCUCAUCAAUUGACGUUACUCGCAGAAGAAGCACCGGCUAACUCCGUGCCAGCAGCCGCGGUAAUACGGAGGGUGCAAGCGUUAAUCGGAAUUACUGGGCGUAAAGCGCACGCAGGCGGUUUGUUAAGUCAGAUGUGAAAUCCCCGGGCUCAACCUGGGAACUGCAUUUGAAACUGGCAAGCUAGAGUCUCGUAGAGGGGGGUAGAAUUCCAGGUGUAGCGGUGAAAUGCGUAGAGAUCUGGAGGAAUACCGGUGGCGAAGGCGGCCCCCUGGACGAAGACUGACGCUCAGGUGCGAAAGCGUGGGGAGCAAAACAGGAUUAGAUACCCUGGUAGUCCACGCUGUAAAACGAUGUCGAUUUUGGAGGUUGUGCCCCUUGAGGCGUGGCUUCCGGAGCUAACGCGUUAAAUCGACCGCCUGGGGAGUACGGCCGCAAGGUUAAAACUUAAAUGAAUUG